AUUGAACGCUGGCGGCAGGCCUAACACAUGCAAGUCGAGCGGCAGCGGGAAAGUAGCUUGCUACUUUUGCCGGCGAGCGGCGGACGGGUGAGUAAUGCCUGGGAAAUUGCCCAGUCGAGGGGGAUAACAGUUGGAAACGACUGCUAAUACCGCAUACGCCCUACGGGGGAAAGCAGGGGACCUUCGGGCCUUGCGCGAUUGGAUAUGCCCAGGGGGGAUUAGCUAGUGGGUGAGGUAAUGGCUCACCAAGGCGACGAUCCCUAGCUGGUCUGAGAGGAUGAUCAGCCACACUGGAACUGAGACACGGUCAAGACUCCUACGGGAGGCAGCAGUGGGGAAUAUUGCACAAUGGGGGAAACCCUGAUGCAGCCAUGCCGCGUGUGUGAAGAAGGCCUUCGGGUUGUAAAGCACUUUCAGCGAGGAGGAAAGGUUGAUGCCUAAUACGUAUCAACUGUGACGUUACUCGCAGAAGAAGCACCGGCUAACUCCGUGCCAGCCGCCGCAGUAAUAC
rnacentral:rRNA from 1 species